rnacentral:rRNA from 1 species
GAGAGGAAAGCGGGGGAUCUUCGGACCUCGCGCUGGUGGACAAGCCUACGUCCGAUUAGCUAGUUGGUGGGGUAAAAGCCUACCAAGGCGACGAUCGGUAGCUGGUCUGAGAGGAUGAUCAGCCACACUGGGACUGAGACACGGCCCAGACUCCUACGGGAGGCAGCAGUGGGGAAUAUUGGACAAUGGGCGCAAGCCUGAUCCAGCAAUGCCGCGUGGGUGAAGAAGGCCUGCGGGUUGUAAAGCCCUUUAAGCGGGGAGGAAAGCCGGGGUGCAAAUAGCGCCUCGGGGUGACGUUACCCGCAGAAUAAGCACCGGCUAACUCCGUGCCAGCAGCCGCGGUAAUACGGGGGGUGCGAGCGUUAAUCGGAAUGACUGGGCGUAAAGCGUGCGUA